rnacentral:rRNA from 1 species
GGACUACUAGGGUUUCUAAUCCUGUUUGAUCCCCACGCUUUCGUGCCUCAGCGUCAAUCAUUGUGUAGUAAGCUGCCUUCGCAAUUGGUGUUCUAUGUCAUAUCUAAGCAUUUCACCGCUACAUGACAUAUUCCGCUUACCUCCACAAUAUUCAAGACAAAUAGUAUCAACGGCAGUUUCCGAGUUAAGCUCGGAGAUUUCACCACUGACUUAUCUGUCCGCCUACGCACCCUUUAAACCCAGUGAAUCCGGAUAACGCUUGCACCCUCCGUAUUACCGCGGCUGCUGGCAC